UGGGGAAUAUUGGACAAUGGGCGCAAGCCUGAUCCAGCAAUGCCGCGUGGGUGAAGAAGGUCUUCGGAUUGUAAAGCCCUUUCGGCGGGGACGCGGUACCCGCAGAAGAAGCCCCGGCUAACUUCGUGCCAGCAGCCGCGGUAAUACGAAGGGGGCUAGCGUUGCUCGGAAUUACUGGGCGUAAAGGGCGCGUAGGCGGCACCAUCAGUCAGGCGUGAAAUUCCCGGGCUUAACCUGGGGACUGCGCUUGAUACAGUGGAGCUAGAGGACGGAAGAGGCUCGUGGAAUUCCCAGUGUAGAGGUGAAAUUCGUAGAUAUUGGGAAGAACACCGGUGGCGAAGGCGGCGAGCUGGUCCGUUACUGACGCUGAGGCGCGACAGCGUGGGGAGCAAACAGGAUUAGAUACCCUUGUAGU
rnacentral:rRNA from 1 species